GGCAGCCCCUGUGAACAGAGCCGGGCUUUGCAUCGCAGCGCCGGUCCGCAAGUGGAGCAGGCAGCUGCAUGAGCAGAGCGGAGCCAUGCUUCCGCUCGGGAUCAGCUGACGAGUGAGGAAGUAGCAGCUGCAGCUGCUGAGCCCUUAAUAGAGGCAGAGAAAGAAGAGCUGAGUGACUGACCCCCUCUCCCCCAAAAGCACAGCCCCACUGACUGAACCCAAGCCCUGCAGCUAGCUACAGUUCCCCCUGUCCCAAGAGGGUUGUAGCUGAGGGGCAUAGCCCAGGCCGUGUGUAGUGUGCAGAGAUGGCAGGGGUCGUGGGAAAUGGAGCUCAAGUGUCCUACAUUAGUCAAGAUUGCAAAGAAAUUCCAGAAUUUCUAGGAAGAAAAUAUGGAGGUAUUGCAAAAAGGCUAGACCUCAGUUUCAAUUUGUUAAGGUCACUAGAAGGACUAAAAACAUUCAGUUGCCUGGAAGAGUUGAUCUUGGACAACAAUCUCCUCGGAAAUGACCUUCGGUUACCCAGGUUACCUCACCUCCAUACCUUAACGCUCAACAAGAACCAAAUAACAGAUUUAGAAAGCCUGCUGGAUCACUUGGCUGAUGUGGUGCCCUCCUUGGAAUAUCUCAGUUUACUAGGAAACAUGGCUUGCCCAAAUGAACUGGUCAGCAAGGACAAGGAUGAGGAUGACUACCAGAGGUACAGGUAUUUUGUUCUGCACAAAUUGACCAACCUGAAAUUUCUUGAUACUCGGAAAGUAACCAAAUGGGAGCGUGAGGAAGCCUUGUUACGAGGUGCUUUCAUGAAAGUGGUAAAGCCCGUGGAUGCUAAGGCCUCCUCCAGUGACACUGCCUCUGUCUCCCCUGAGACACACUAUACGCCACUGCCUUCAGGAUCCAGGGAUCUCACCAAUCACAGAGGUAGAAAGUAAAAGGAGUAAUUACUGUAGGAUGAUGGUCAGAUUGUCUACUGUGGCCAAGGAUCACAAAAGAGGUGUUCUGGGAAAAUGUCGCUACAUUUACUAUGGGAAACAUUCGGAAGGCAACAGAUUCAUUCGAGAUGACCAGCUAUAAAACAGCACCGUUCCAUGCCUCUUUAAACAAUCCACAAAACAUGCACACAAAAAGCACAAAUUGCAUCUACAUUUUCUGCGUGUAACUAAAGUCCUCCAGUACCUUCUGCUGACUUUGCCAAGCCUGUCAAGAUCAUCUUUCUGUCUUAGUCUGAGUAGUCACAUAGAGAUUGACAUGAUUGCCUUUAAGCAGGUCCCAUCCACCAGUGUGACAGACAGCUGCAGCCAAGCACCAGGCCUGACAGGAUGAACACCAUGAUGGAUUGCCUGGUCCAAUUGCUGCACACAGAAGAGCAAAGGUCACACCUGGGGCUUCAGUGAGCAUGCUCAGUUGGUUUUAGCAAGAGCAAUGCUUUUAUCUAAAGUUUGCAUGUUGAGUCAGAGAGGCUUGCAGUGUCAAUAUGAUCAUAAAACAGCAGCUAUAACUGAAGAUUUAAAAAGCCCUUCCCCCCGCCCCCCCCAAGUAUUAGGUACUUAAGUUUAACACACACAAACCUUUUCAGACAGUGUUUAUCACAAGUCAAACUUCGCAGUUUCCUUUGCUCUUUCUUUAAGAGGGUGGGGGAUAUGUUGUCAGCAAUGUUGAUAUGAAAACACGUUAGCAAUGCAUAGCACUGAAUCUGCAUAUUUUUAUUGAAGAAAAGGGGUCGAAGCAGUUUUGCACACACAACUGAACCAAAGCAUCCUAUUUUUGAUUUAAAUCUCAAGUUUUACUACAUCGUAGCAUUCAGAAGUGGGGCCAUUUUUAACAUUGCAGAAUAUGUGACACAGAAGGCACACUGUUUAACUGUACAUGCUUGAUUAUGGUAGUGACAGUUCUACUUAUGCUUGGUUUAUUUGACAAGAUUUUUUUAACGUGCAGAGAUUAGAUUUAGAAUUAAAUGUUUUGAAAGGAGAAAGCAACAAAACCCUGCUGAGCAUAGAUGAUAUUUAGAGGAAAAUAAGGUACAAUUGUUUGUUUCAUAUCACUAACGUCAUUGUUGGAAUCUACAUAAUUUACAAUCUUGCUAUAUAUCUUAGUCACCUCCCUAUUGUGGUCAUUAUUAAUCCCCUAUUAAUACACAUGCAAAUUAUGUAAACAUGGCUUCCUGUCAACUUUUCAGUCACAAAAUGAAAAUCCUUAGCAUUUCACAAGUCUUUUUAGCAAAUGAGGUGAACGUGUUUGGAGCAAUGACUCAUUUCCUUUGUUACUGUGCUUCAAGUUCCCAAGAGUUAAUACAUUGUGUUUGGUGUGACUAGAUGUCAUGGGAUUGACAAAGAGUAUGCAGAGCCUUUCACCUCUAGGCUGCAAUUUCAAAACCAGCCCAUGAUGGUAUUGUCUAAGAGCUGUUACCAUCUGUUGGCUAUUUGUUGGCUUGUAUGAAAUGAGCUGGUGGUCUGUGUGACGGGUGACUCUCACAAACCUAAAUACUUACAAGUGGCCCAUAUUUUGGCAAUCUUCAGCAGAUGCUGUGGGUGGAAUGGGACUGGAGACUGAUGUCUUUCUCUGCCAGAGGUAGUCCCUCCAGAAAAUGAUGAGGCACCUUGGCAGAGGAAUGAAGGGAAACUGGCACUGCUACUGUCCAUGUUAUUUGCCUCUCUGGAUGAACGGAAGACUUGACUCACCAUGGCUGUCAAUAUGAAACUGCUAACCAGCGUUACAUUUACUUUUAAAUUUGAAAAUAAAAAUAUAUACUAAUAGAAAUAUAUUUAAAAUAUACAGGGCCCGGAUCCUCAGCUGCUAUAAACUGGCAUAGCUCCGAUGACUUUAAUGGAGCUACACAGUUUCCAUCAGCUGUGCAUCUGGCCCCAUCUAUUUUAAAUUCGGAUCUGUCUCUGAGUCGGCUGCUGUACAAAUUGCUGGGAAGUGAGUUGUGGCUACGGUAGCACAACUUCGCUUAUGUCAUAGUCUCUUAUUUGGCUAUUACAGAUAGGAAACCAAAUUCUGAUUAAAAGGCUCCUGAGCUUUUGGGGACUCAGGAGGUUGCUUCUCUUGUGACAUAAAUAAUUAUUAGAUUUCUAACUCAGUGACCAAAAUAACAGCAAGUUGCCAUCCUAGCUCAUUUGUAUCAUAAUAUCUGUUCUGAAUCAUCAACUCAUGUUUUGACCAAAGCAUAUUACAGGCAGCAGGGUGCUAAACCGAGGUGUCUAGAAUAACCUACUGUCACAUUCCGUCUGGUUGCAUAUACGUUCCUGUCUCUAUCAAAGGCUUUAACCCUGCCUCAAACAAUAAAAAACACUUGCAAACUGACCACAUGCUUUUUCUCUUUUUUUUUUUUUUUUUCCUUAUUUACUUUUUGUAAUGUCAAAACCCUUUGUAUCAUUCUCAGAAAUGUUUUGGAGGCAAUAAUAUUUUUGGAAUGAGAUGUGACCAAAGAUUUUUUUUUAGUAUUAAAUAGUAUUAAAUAAUGUAGCAACUUUAAGUAAAGUUAGCUGAAUUAGAACUCUCAAUAAAAUCCACUAGUUCUGUAUAGUCAUCUGAAUAAUCUUAACUAUUACUUUUUUAUGGCUAUAAUGUAUUAGCAUAUUAUUUAAAGACAUGUGGGACUGUUUACUGCUGUCUGUGUUACAUGCAUUGCUGUAGCAUGCAAGGUAUUUCAUUCUCAGAUGUUUUGAACUGAAAUACUGUUUCAGGGUGUGGCAAAUCUUCUGGGCUCAGUCCUGCUGGGUUCUUUCUUAGGUGUUGAUACAAACUGGGCCUGAGUCAGAGCUACAGGACUGGGCUGUAGGUUGUUCACAAGUUCAAAAUUGUAAUAUGUCAAUCUCUUGACAGGAAAGGGAUCUAAGGAGAGAUCCCCCGCCUCAUCCGCAUCAAAUUACUCUACCUUCAUGGUGGAGAUUCAGGGUAGGCUAGUCCUAAAAUAUCCUUUUCAUCGGGUCCUCAGUUUCUCCUUGAAGCUGCGUACAUGCACAGCACACACGCAUUUCCCCUUCUUCUCUUUAGCUGCUGCAGAGGGCUAUGUCCCCGUGACUGAGGGCUGGGAGCAUUUGCUGAAGCUUGUGUACGUGAAUGUGCAGAAAAGCUCUUUGGGGCAGGGAGAUUUCUUUUUGUGUUGAGUUUGUACAGCAGCUAGCACAAAAGGGUGUUGGCCCAUGACCAGCACUUCUCAGCACAACCCACAGUACAAAUAGUAAAUAACAAUGAUGGUGUCUGCAUCCUUCUCUCCUUUGUGAGGCUGUCCCUUCCAUGGCCCUCCUAACCCUCACUGAUCCCAAUCUGGUUCCCAAACCCAAGGCCUCUGCAUAAUAACUCUGCCCAUUCUUGGAAUAUCAGGACAGUCUCCAAUAAUGUAAUUUUAUGGGACAAUUUGUUCCUUUGAAAACACUAGUUUGGACUGUAGAAUUAUUGAUUGCAAAUGUAAAUGCUUUAAUCACCUCCCAGACAGCUAGGAACAAUCCUAUUGUCCAGUAGCAUGGGAAGACCAAUACUUGGUCAGCAGAAGCUGCUACCCACCAGACGAGCUGCAUUCAAAGCUGCAUUCGAAGUCAGUGGGGGUCUUUCCUUUGGUUUCAAUGGGCUUUGGAUCAGGGCUCUGAUGCCCUCAUUUGCUGGUGUAUCCAACUUGAUGAUGAAAAUGAGAACCAUUCUCUGUCCUCAGUUGCCUUGUAAAUGCCACCAAUCAGCCUAAGAAAUAUUGCACUGACAUGCUGAACCAGCUAUUUUCUAACUCCCUUCACUGACUCUGCUUAAUCCAAUACUGCACUUAAAUGAUGAGUGCACACGAGUGCAAUAUAUAUACCGUAUUGGAGUAGGGGGCACAAAUGCUUUUGAUGAGCAUUUACAAGGUUCAUUGUGAACCAGUUUUGUUUUCAGCACUCGUCUGGGCUCUCUUGUCAGUAAGAGUACCAGGUUUUUUAAAGUAUAAAUCAGAUUCAAUCAGGGGCCAGUCUUUCCACCCUCCCAUCCCUCUCAAGGCCUUGCAGCAGUGUAAGAACUGACUUUGCCAUCUUUCCCAGUGCUGUCUGAAUGGAAGCUGUGCUGUGCACCAUAUUUUGCCAUUGUGUCUUAGCAGAGAUGACACACACAAUAUCAAACUAUUUCUCUUUUCCUUCCCCAGGCUGAAGUAUGUGUGCACGCACCUUCUUGUGUACCCAGACAAUAGGAUAAUAAACAAAUCAGUUGCCUCUUAAACUCUCUCAGGGGUGAUUUCUGAGGAAGUUGGAGGGUGUCAGUAAGUUAUCAACUAACAAGUGGCUCCUGAACAGUUCACAUGGUGAUCUGCCAAGCUAUUUAGAAAAGGUCGUCACUAAGCCACCAGGAUUUAAAGAUACGUUGCUUCUAUGGAGUUACUACAUUGUCCUGUAGCUCUGGCAGAACAACGAAGUGGGACAGCUGUAUUAUUUGUUGGCUAACCAUAUUUGGGAAUAGGAGAUGGGUGGUUUUACAGGGAACUGUUUCUAGCUGCUGUGUUUUGUUAAUGUAUUUGUGACAGUUAUACUGAAAAAUAAAAUAUCCAAACUGAA